rnacentral:rRNA from 1 species
CUCAUCCAGUUUUGUCUUGCUUGUACAUGAGAGAAAGCAAUACAACUUCUAACGGUGGACCCCUCGGCUCGUGCAUCGAUGAAGAACGCAGCAAACUGCGAUACGUAGUGUGAAUUGCAGAAUUCAGUGAAUCAUCGAGUCUUUGAACGCAAAUGG